AUACGUAGGGUGCGAGCGUUGUCCGGAAUUACUGGGCGUAAAGAGCUCGUAGGUGGUUUGUCGCGUCGUCUGUGAAAUUCCGGGGCUUAACUCCGGGCGUGCAGGCGAUACGGGCAUAACUUGAGUACUGUAGGGGAGACUGGAAUUCCUGGUGUAGCGGUGAAAUGCGCAGAUAUCAGGAGGAACACCGGUGGCGAAGGCGGUUCUCUGGGCAGUAACUGACGCUGAGGAGCGAAAGCAUGGGUAGCGAACAGGAUUAUAUACCCUGGUAGUCCAUGCCGUAAACGGUGGGCGCUAGGUGUAGGGGUCUUCCACGACUUCUGUGCCGUAGCUAACGCAUUAAGCGCCCCGCCUGGGGAGUACGGCCGCAAGGCUAAAACUCAAAGGAAUUGACGGGG
rnacentral:rRNA from 1 species